CCCAGACUCCUACGGGAGGCAGCAGUGGGGGAUAUUGCACAAUGGGGGGAACCCUGAUGCAGCGACGCCGCGUGGGUGAAGGAGUAUUUCGGUAUGUAAAGCCCUAUCGGCAGGGAAGAAGCAAGACGGUACCUGACUAAGAAGCCCCGGCUAACUACGUGCCAGCAGCCGCGGUAAUACGUAGGGGGCAAGCGUUAUCCGGAUUUACUGGGUGUAAAGGGAGCGUAGACGGCGAUACAAGUCUGAAGUGAAAGCCCGGGGCUCAACCCCGGGACUGCUUUGGAAACUGUGUUGCUGGAGUGCUGGAGAGGCAAGCGGAAUUCCUAGUGUAGCGGUGAAAUGCGUAGAUAUUAGGAAGAACACCAGUGGCGAAGGCGGCCUGCUGGACAGUAACUGACGUUGAGGCUCGAAAGCGUGGGGAGCAAACAGGAUUAGAUACCCUGGUAC
rnacentral:rRNA from 1 species